CCUCGCUACCCCAUGACAAAGUCAUCUUAUUUCUUUUACUUUUUUUAACCGACUAUAAUAUCAUCCAGCACUAACGCUUCCUAUUUACAACUUUUGCAAAGAAAGCAGUUCUGAACUUUCGAGACGUUUUAAUUUUAAUAUCAUAUUUGUAACUACCGGCCCGAACUGGGUUUGAAGAGGAGAUUGGAGAAAAAUUUAUAUUUAUCCGCUAAUUCAAAUCAAAUAUUGAAAUUUAAUAAAAAAAAUAUAUGUAUACACCCAUACAUAUAAUAUUUUAAGUCCUUAAUCUUAUUUAAAGUACAAACCUUAUUAGGUAUUAAGGUGUGGUUGAUCUGUAGCCGCGUGGGCGGUGCUAAAAUAGCGGAGAACCUCGCGUACCAACGCUUACUCAGAAAACUAUGAAGAUCCUAAGAUUAGUCACGUCAUCCCACGCUAGCACGGUCUUAUGUCUGAAAACUGUAACAUUACCUGGACAUGUAAUGAAUUUAUUUUUCUAAUUACUUCUACAAAAACUUUCAACUUACAAUUGACUUAUCUAAUGGGAUGCAGUCAAGUGAAUAGACAUUUUU